UUUGGAGACUGAAGGGUGUAUGGGGGAUGCCUUGGCUCAAACAAGCGAUGAAGGACGUGGAAGUCUGCGAUAUGCUUCGGGGAGGUGACAAACAACCUUUGAUCCGGAGAUCUCCGAAUGGGGGAACCCAGCCAAUUGUUAUUGGUUAUCUGUUGGGUCGCACCAACAGAAGCGUACCCAGGGAACUGAAACAUCUAAGUACCUGGAGGAACAGAAAGCAACAGGGACUGUUUUUUAUCCGGCCAAUUUGCCGUCGGAUAAAGAACAGUCUUGCGAUUUCCUUAGUAGCGGCGAGCGAAACGGAACCAGCCCAAACCGGAUACUUCGGUAUCCGGGGUUGUACGGCAAAAGUGCUGCACUUGUGUAGGAAGAGUUAUCAAGUGUAAAUAUAGAGGAAGUUUCUGGAAAGAAACACCAUAGGGGGUAAUAGUCCCGUACUCGAAAUAUUUACACCUCUUUCGCUUUUGUUCGUGAGUAGCUCGAGACAUGAAUAGCUCGAGUGAAUCUGGGAGAACUAACUCCUAAGGCUAAAUAUUGUUUGAGACCGAUAGUGAACCAGUACCGUGAGGGAAAGGUGAAAAGAACCCCGAGAGGGGAGUGAAAUAGAACUGAAACCAUACAUCUACAAACAGUUGAAGAGGUACUUGUACCUCGACAGCGUGCCUAUUGAAGAAUGAGCCGGCGAGUAUAUGUGUGCUGCAAGCUAAGUCCGUAAUGGGAUGGAGCUUUAGGGAAACCGAGUGUGAAUAGCGCGAUAGUAGUACGCAUAUGACCCGAAACCAGGUGAGCUUGCCAUGGGCAGGGUGAACACUUGUGAAAACAAGUGGGAGGCCCGCACCGGUUGGUCGUUUAAUGCCAUCGGAUGACCUGUGGUAGGGAGUGAAAAGCUAAUCGAACUUGGUAAUAGCUGGUUCUCUCCGAAACAGCUUUAGGGUUGGCGUCGCGUGUUCCCUUCGGGGGUAGAGCACUGGAAGGUUUAAACAGGGGGAAACCUCGUUAAACCUAUCAAACUCCGAAUACCGAAGAUUAAUAACGCGGCAGUUAGACUGCGGGGGAGAAGCUCCGUUGGUCGAAAGGGGAACAGCCCAGAUCGCCAGUUAAGGCCCCUAAAUUAGUGCUCAGUGUAACUUAAGGAAGUGAGGAUCCUCCGACAAUGAGGAGGUUGGCUUAGAAGCAGCCACCCUUUAAAGAUAGCGUAACAGCUCACUCAUCAAGGGUCCUUGCGCCGCAAAUGAUCGGGACUUAAGCACUAUGCCGAAACUGCGGGUUCGUACAUUUAUGUAUGAGCGGUAGGAGAGCGUUCUGUUUGCGUUGAAGGUGAAGGGGUGACCCACACUGGAGCGUACAGAAGUGAGAAUGCCGGCACGAGUAACCGCAAUGCGAGUGAGAGCCUCGCACACCGAAAGAUCAAGGUUUCCGCAGCUACGAUGAUCAGCUGCGGGUUAGUCGGGCCUAAGGGGAUGGCGAAAGCCGCACCCGAUGGACACAUGGUUAAUAUUCCAUGACUACGCUGCUAUGCGAUGGGGGGACGGAUUGUUGUACACAUUGCCCAUUAUUGGAUUUGGGUUGGUGCUAUGAGGGCUGCUUUUAGGUAAAUCCGGAAGCAUAUAGUCCAAGUAGAGCCGCAAUUUUUUGGUUUCGGCCAGGAGAGAGAAUGUGGAGCACGGUUCCAAGAAAAGCCUCUAAGCUUCAGUAGCAGUCGUAUCCGUACCGCAAACCAACACAGGUGAUCAGGGCGAGUAGCCCAAGGUGAACGAGUAAUGGGUCCUCAAGGAACUCGGCAAAAAAGCGACCGUAACUUCGGGAUAAGGUCUGCCUUUGCGUUUUCGGACGUGAAGGCCGCAGCGAAAGUUUCUCUGGCGACUGUUUAUCAAAAACACAGCUCCCUGCGAACUCGUAAGAGUAUGUAUAGGGGGUGACGCCUGACCAAUGCCAGAAGGUUAAGUACGGGUGGUAUAUUUCUUCGGAUUUAUGCUGGCCUGUAUAAGCCCUGGUGAAUGUCGGCCGUAACUAUAACGGUCCUAAGGUAGCGUAAUUCCUUGUCGGGUAAGUUCCGACGUGCACGAAUGGCGUAACGACUGGAGAACUGUCUCGAGGACUUGCUCGGUGAAAAUGCAAUCCCGGUAAAGAUGCCGGGUAGAUGUGGAAAGACAGAAAGACCCCAGAAGCUUUACUACAGCUUCGUAUUGGGUCUGCGUGACAUGUGCGUAGCAUAGGUGGGAGACUUUGAAGCACCCCUUUUGGGGGGUGUGGAGUCGUCAGUGAAAUACCACUCUCAUGUUGUUCAGAUCCUAACCCAUAGGGAAACCCUAUAGGAACAGUGCGUGGUGGGUAGUUUGAGUGGGGCGCUCUCCUCCUAAAAAGUAACGGAGGAGUCUAUUAAGGUCAGCUAGGCGCGAAUGGACACCGUGCCGAUAGUGUAAUGGCAAAAGCUGGCUUGACUGCGAGGGGUACGUCCCGAGCAGGUGCGAAAGCAGAGCAUAGUGAUCCGACUGUACGCAUUAGAUGCGGCAGGAGCUCAACGGAUAAAAGCUACUCUGGGGAUAACAGGCUAGUCGCGCCCAAGCGUCCAUAGCGACGGCGCGGUUCGGCACCUCGAUGUCGGCUCAUCUUAUCCUGGGGCUGGAGAAGGUCCCAAGGGUUUGGCUGUUCGCCAAUUAAAAAGAUACGCGAGCUGGGUUCAAACCGUCGUGAGACAGGUUGGUUCUCUAUCUUCCACAUCCGUCGAUUCUUGAAGAGAUCUGCCCCUAGUACGAGAGGACCGGGGUGGACGGACCUCUGGUCUAUCGGCUGUCACGCCAGUGGCACUGCCGAGUAGCUAUGUUCGGAAUGGAUAACCGCUGAAAGCAUCUAAGCGGGAAGCCAACUCUAAGAUUAGGAAUCAUUAAGACCCCUAGGAGAUGACUAGGUUGAUAGGCUCUACGUAGAAGCACUGUGAAGUGUUGAGCGGAGGAGUACUAAUUCGUCGUCGUCUCCAACAA
rnacentral:rRNA from 1 species